rnacentral:ncRNA from 2 species
GCAAAUUCUCAGGGCGGGGUGAAACUCCCCACCGGCGGUAAAUGAGUAACGGCUAAGUGAUGGUGACUUAGUGUGGCUCAAAGCCCGCGAGCGCCCGAAAUCAUGUUCGGGGUCAGCAGAUCUGGUGCCUCAGUGUUUGCCGAGUGCAAAUCUGAUAUUCCAGAGCCGACGGUAAUGGACUGUGACCUUAAUGGCAACAGUGCUGAGUCCGGAUGGAAGAGAAUGUAA